rnacentral:rRNA from 1 species
UACAGAGGGGGCAAGCGUUGUUCGGAAUUACUGGGCGUAAAGGGCGCGUAGGCGGCCUUCUAAGUCGAACGUGAAAUCCCUGGGCUCAACCCAGGAACUGCGUCCGAUACUGGUUGGCUUGAGUUUGGGAGAGGGAUGCGGAAUUCCAGGUGUAGCGGUGAAAUGCGUAGAUAUCUGGAGGAACACCGGUGGCGAAGGCGGCAUCCUGGACCAAUACUGACGCUGAGGAGCGAAAGCCGGGGGGAGCCAAACGGGG